GUCCCAUCUGGAGCAGGGGAGCAGUGGCGCGCAGCCUUUGGACUCGCCGACCAGUGCGUUCGGUCCAGUUGGAGGUACCUCCUGCAGGUUACCAGAGGUGCCACCCUUCACAAGCCCCUAACUUGGCCAAGUCUCAGAGGACUCAUAAGGUUAACAUAGCAACUGGACGUCGUCUGGCACAUGAUCUCUCCUCGUCUCCUUGCCUUCCAUCUCCAGUGAAGAAGCCACAGUUAAAAGAUGACUUCAGGAAGGAGAUGGCUUCCCUGUGACUAAUGGCGGUCUCUCCAUCCUGUGCUCUUUCCCUGCGGCCUCUGGUAACCAGUGGAUAAGAAUAGGGCUGGCUACAGGAGGCCAGAACCCUAAAGGCAGCUGCAGACAACUCCAACCAGGCUAUUUCCUUUUCCUAUGGAAUUUGGAGAGAAACCAAGCUAAUAAGGGAAAAGGCCAGAAGAAUAAAAUAUAGAGAGACUGAAGCUUGUGUGAUAAACUUGGGACAUCUGCAUAACUGAGACAGAAGACUGGACAAAGACUGUGUACCUUCCGUGACUGGGGGAGGAGUUAUCUUAUGGAGCUGGGAUGGGGUGAACAAAACAUCACCUUUUCAUUGGA
rnacentral:sRNA from 1 species